rnacentral:misc_RNA from 1 species
AAGUCGUAACAAGGUUUCCGUAGGUGAACCUGCGGAAGGAUCAUUAACACGUAUCCAACGUUAAACCCCCCGUGAACUUUUAUUGCGAACCACGCCUUUGUUAAAAAGUAGCAAUCCCUGGUAAAUCAUCGCCGAACAGUUUUGAUUCAGGGAUCUAGCGCGAGGUAAGUGGCCUGGCAUUCCUCUGCUUGUUAGUGUCUGACAGUGUCACUAGCUCUGUACGAAUGGCGCAGUCACGAUCGCUGGAGGCCGACACGGCCGGCGACCGGGUCACCGGGCAUAGACCCCCCUAUCACCUUUGCAUGAAAACGGGCCUGCGCUUAAUUGUGCGGCCACCAAACUCGAACAACUGUUAACAAUGGAUAUCUUGGUUCUC